rnacentral:rRNA from 2 species
AUAACGACUCUCGGCAACGGAUAUCUCGGCUCUCGCAUCGAUGAAGAACGUAGCGAAAUGCGAUACUUGGUGUGAAUUGCAGAAUCCCGUGAACCAUCGAGUCUUUGAACGCAAGUUGCGCCCGAAGCCUUUAGGCAGAGGGCACGUCUGCCUGGGUGUCACG